GUGUCAGCAGCCGCGGUAAUACGUAGGUGGCAAGCGUUAUCCGGAAUUAUUGGGCGUAAAGCGCGCGUAGGCGGUUUUUUAAGUCUGAUGUGAAAGCCCACGGCUCAACCGUGGAGGGUCAUUGGAAACUGGGGGACUUGAGUGCAGGAGAGGAGAGCGGAAUUCCACGUGUAGCGGUGAAAUGCGUAGAGAUGUGGAGGAACACCAGUGGCGAAGGCGGCUCUCUGGCCUGUAACUGACGCUGAGGCGCGAAAGCGUGGGGAGCAAACAGGAUUAGAAACCCUCGUAGUCC
rnacentral:rRNA from 1 species